rnacentral:lncRNA from 1 species
ACCAAAGGAUCGUUCUCCAGGGCCAACAGUCGUACAAAAAGCCGGUGUAGGUAUGUCCGGCCAGAGGUAGACGGCCCGCGGGGCCAAUCGGAGUGCAGGCAGGGCAGCAGGCCCCGCCUCCGAAACAACAGAAAGCACUUGACAGGCUUGCUCUCCAAUGAGAAGCCCCGGAAAAGUGUCGCGCGGAGGCGGAGCCACGCGGUACAGCCACCUCUGCGCCUGCUCAAAGGCCCUGGACACUUGGAGUCUAGACACCCGAGUUCAGAGCCAGCCUCCAAGAGUAUCUUACAUCCCAGCGUCUCCUGGAAGGCCGUAUGAUCCAGCACUGGGGAGAGGAGGGAAAUCCCCAGGACUCGAAUGCCCAUCCCACCCUUGGUGUAGUGAGGACUCAUCCUGCUGGAAAGGCCCCUGAAGAACUUCAAGUUCCAAUAUCCCGUUUUUACAGAUGGGGAAACUGACAUGAAGAGGAGUCCAAAGUGACACAGUCAGGCCAGAAAUGUUGCUUCUGAAGUCCUGAGUCCACCUCCUAGCACUGCCAAGCAGUCCACCUGGAGGUGAUGAGAACUUCCAGGCUUUGGUAAUGGACAACUCUGUAUCCCUGGAGCCUUCAUUCCUUUUGGCAUUACAGAACCACAAGAAGUCAUCUAGAAUCAUUGAGAUUCUCAACUCCAUUGGGCAAACUGGAACCAGCAAAAUCUCAGAUAUCUAGAAUUGCCACUGCUUCCUUGACUCUGUGAUCAGUCUACAGCCACAGAAUCCUGAUUCCCUUUGGACAUUCUAGAAUGGCACUUUAAAAAAAAACAACCCACCCAGUGGAUCCUUUCAAAGCACUGCUUAUUCUCUUGGCUGGGUGCUCUACAGCCAGAAGUUGGAGUUAUCUAAUAUCAAGAACUCUUAAUCUGUCACUUCAGUCUUUCUAAACCCACAGACUAACAAUGUUUUGUGCAUUCUA